rnacentral:tRNA from 1 species
GGAUUGUGGCUCAGCGGUAGAGCGCUUGCCUAGCAUGUGCAAGGCCCUGGGUUCGACCCUCAGCACCA